rnacentral:rRNA from 1 species
ACGGAGGGGGCGAGCGUUGUUCGGAUUUACUGGGCGUAAAGGGCGCGUAGGCGGCGUUGUAAGUCAGGCGUGAAAGCCCAGGGCUCAACCUUGGAAUAGCGCUUGAGACUGCAAUGCUGGAGACCGGAAGAGGGUAGUGGAAUUCCCAGUGUAGAGGUGAAAUUCGUAGAUAUUGGGAAGAACACCAGUGGCGAAGGCGGCUACCUGGUCCGGAUCUGACGCUGAGGCGCGAAAGCGUGGGGAGCAAACAGG